UACGUAGGGUGCAAGCGUUGUCCGGAAUUAUUGGGCGUAAAGAGCUCGUAGGCGGUCUGUCGCGUCGGAUGUGAAAAUCCAGGGCUCAACCCUGGACCUGCAUUCGAUACGGGCAGACUAGAGUUCGGCAGGGGAGACUGGAAUUCCUGGUGUAGCGGUGAAAUGCGCAGAUAUCAGGAGGAACACCGGUGGCGAAGGCGGGUCUCUGGGCCGAAACUGACGCUGAGGAGCGAAAGCGUGGGUAGCAAACAGG
rnacentral:rRNA from 1 species